AUGUAAUGAAGCCAUCAAAACAUAGUUUAUAGAAGAAAGAAGAGGCAGAAAAUUUCUUAAAGGACAUGUGAACUUGGUUCCUCUUUUGGAGGCAUUGGAAUAGGCUUGCAUGCUGAAGGGAAUGAUUCAUUUGAAGGGAGAAACAAGUGCAGACUGAAAGACAGCAAUUGCUGAAGCAAUAUACACAAGUAAGCUGGAAAGGAUGCAAUCUAACGCAGUGGAGAAGGGUUGGCUUCCGCUGAAGAGUUCAUCUGUGAUAAGAGGAGAGAGAACGAAGCAUGUGCUUAGCAAUAAAGCCUGAACUGAAUCCCACAACCUGAACAAAAAAGUGAGCACAGGCCUGCUGAUAACAAGAGUUCCAGCAGAAGCUGUGGAAGACUGAAAAAUGGCCCCAAAGAUACACAGAUACAUGAGAGAGACAGAAGAAGGAGGAGGAAGAAAAAGAGAAGGAAGAGGAGGAGGAAGAGGAGCAGUGAUGAGGU
rnacentral:lncRNA from 10 species